ensembl:lncRNA
CAUUUGAGUUCCUGUGCAUAGAUCGUCUUUGACAAAAACCAGCUGAGCUAUGGCCCAGUUAGAUGUUAAUGUGUGUUCUUAUGUUGUGUUAUAGUGACAGCUGUGUGUACUGCUGCAGGAGCAAUAGGUGCUGUAGUCGCUGCUCCUGCUCUUCUGGAAGCUGCAGGUUUCACCUCAGCUGGAAUAGCUGCAGGCUCCUACGCUGCAGGCAUGCUGCAGCUGCUAAUGGAGGUGUGGCAGCCGGAAGUGUGGUGGCUAUUUUGCAGUCAGCAGGCUAACGAUCCUGACCCCGGCGGCUUUGGGCCUUGGAUUCCAGGCCAGAGUUGUCCUCAGCCAGUAGCCUGACUUGGAGGAAGAAAACUAAAUCUUGUGUACCCCAUUGCAGUGUGAGUGUGGUGGUUUCUUACUGGUCAAUAUUAGAGCUUACUACGUUCUUGUACGGGAGCCCUUUUGGGCCGUAUGUAACAUUUAGUGUUUGUCGACAGGAUAUGUGACCAGUAUGCCUUAGACUGAUCAAUAUGGCUGAUGAACUAUCUGAAACCGUUAAUAUGGUGCCACCAUUUUUUAUUGGUGCACCUUGGGUACCAGAAUUUUGUGGCCUUAACACUAAUUAUGAAGACUGGGAGAGCCAGAUUAGUACAAUGCUCCAUGCUCAAAAGUGGUCUGUAGAACAGCAGUGUGAUGUUGUGCUGAGUGCAUUAGGAGAACCACAACGUGAAAUCUUAUUUUGGAGCAAGUGGAGCGGGAUACGCCAGAUAAGAUCUUUCUUCAAUUUAAAGAACUGUAUGGGAACAAAACGGCUGUGGGUACCUUGCAUGCCAUGUUUUAUGAUUGCAGACAAAGGCCAGAAGAGCCUGUUAGAAAGUUCACUUUACAUUUAAGGGAAAUAGGCCAUCGCCUGCAAAUAAAAGAGCCACAAUACCCUCGGCGUGCCGACCUGCACAUGCAUGAUCAGUUUGUCUUGGGGCUCAGAGAGGGCGAGAUACACCCGGUGCAGGUUUCACCUCUGGUGUCUGUUAAGGCAUGACCUCUCUCAUUUGAACACGUGUGUAAAGAGGCUUUGCAAUCGGAAGCAGAUGCUUUGCAUAGCUCAUAUGAAAACUCUGCUUGUGCCAUAGUAAAAGGAGAUCUAAAGUGGCAGGAUACCUUGAAUUGGAAUUUAAAUAAAUACAUUUAAAGUGGAGAUUCUCACAGAAAUGAAGGAGCAAAUUAUGGACAACAAGAAUACUCUUCAGGAGGAGCUGAGAGAAUUUGUUUGACCAGCACCAAUGCCACAGACAUGUAAAAGAAAGCAGAAAAAAAAUAAUUUUUCUUACAAUGGUAGAUUGUUUACCUUCUCUAGUACUCCUGGUGUUACCAGAUUUUAAUUUUCACGUGCCAGUGAGACGUGAAAAUUAACGGCCAUAGGCCAUAUGGAUGGCCUAUGGCCGUCAGUGCCAUCAUUAACUCUUGGAUGCCAUACCUUUGACUUACUAAUGGGAACUGCUUGUUAAACGAAGGCUGAGAUGAUUCCUUAAUGACUUUGUUCAUUGGAAUGAAAAAAUGGAUAUUUGAUAACUCAGAAGUGAAAAGUUUCUACUGUGCUGAACAAGUGUUUUGCUUAUGUGCAACUCUUGUACCC